GGGGAUGGGAAUCAAUAACCAGGUCCAUUAAUUACCUGAUCGAUCAGUUUUCCAAACCUGAAAGUCAAUCAUGUUUGAAUGUCUGAUAUCAGUUUAUAGACGGUCUUAUUAAGUCAAGGUUCACUCUAGUUGAACUUAUCUAUACAUGUAUUUUCACUCUAGUUGACCUUAUCUACACGUCUGUCAUGUUAUUAAAGCUUGAGUCCUGAUCCACCUGAACUUGGACCGACUUCAAACAGACUAAACCGACUUUAACAUUCAGAAAAUAACUGACUGAUUUAAAUCUGAUCGAUGAGUGUUACUGAUACGGUUAUUCAUUUAUUCUAUUAUAACAUGAUUGAUAUUGUUAUUGAUUAUUUUAAUGAUCUGUUUUGACGACGAUGAUCUUAAAGCGUUUAACCUUAUCGGUGAAUAUCAGCCCUACAGGACAAACUCAGUGAAUCUAGUAUUUUAUGUCCUUGACUUCAUUAAAACUGUCCGAUCCUCGUUAGUCGAACCUUAAAUCACUGAUGAGUUUGUCGGUUUCCUGUCGGCCUGCGGUGACUGACCACAGAGGACACCAGGGGAGCGUCUAAACCCGUUUGUCAGAGCGGUGAUCCCAUAAACAGAUUAGUUAGCGGCUAACGGGAUAAAGGCGGAGUUGACUGCUCUCAUCGUCCCGCUGGAUUUCCCUCUUUGUUUAUUUGGCAGGUCAGGGUCUGAGUUUGUGGGUGAAGAGCUGAGUCUGAUUUUAAGUGGCGCUCCGAAAAACUGCGGUCCUGAGGGACGCAGAACGCUGAAAUAAGCACGGCUCGCCAUAACGCUGUAAAACGGGCCUAAUAAAGGGUUACUACGGGCCGAGGGUGAGACGCCAAAACUGACAGAUCAUGUGUUUCUCUGAAGUGGCGCCCGUGCCCUCUUGUUUACUCGUGUUUUGACCAGAUGGUAGACGUUGAAACAUUGAGCGGUAAAACUGAGCGGCGAGCACCUCUAAAAUACAAACGUCUUACAUCACAGCACCGCGGCGGCGGCGCUCACACACUCUCAGAUGAUGUAUUCGUGCGCUGAAGCUGCAGCAGCUCAUCAGUUCAGGCGUGACUUUCAUCUCUAAUCUCCGUUUCUUGAUUUUCUCUUUUCCACGCCCCUCCCCGCUCAGACGGCGAGCCCCGCUCUCUGGAUCCCUGCAGCAGCUUCAAAGCGCCCGACAGCCUGGCCUCCUGAGAUAGGUUACUGAUUCACACCGCAUUGGUUCUGAUGUCACAGCCCCGCGGCGUGCCCACCCGCCCGCACACGUGCUCCCGCCGUGGCUGUUUAACCACGCUAAAUAAUCCUCCACUCCUGGGUGUUUUGACAUUUCACUAAUGAGCCAAUCUCCUCUUUCUGUUCGCGGCCCACCGUACGACCACAACCAUGUUAGAGUCACACACACACACACACACACACACACACACACUCAUGGAGGGGGGGGUUUAUCCCUCAGAGCCAGAAUGGCGGUGACUUAAUACCUGUGGAGCUGGGUCAUGUGACCAGGAAAGCUUAUUUGAAACACAUCUGGGAUUGAAGCCGUUUGGAUUCAGAGAGACGAGCAGCAGCUUCCC
rnacentral:lncRNA from 1 species